AGCAGCAGCCACGGUAAUACGUAGGUGGCAAGCGUUGUCCGGAAUUAUUGGGCGUAAAGCGCGCGCAGGCGGAUAGGUCAGUCUGUCUUAAAAGUUCGGGGCUUAACCCCGUGAUGAGAUGGAAACUGCCAAUCUAGAGUAUCGGAGAGGAAAGUGGAAUUCCUAGUGUAGCGGUGAAAUGCGUAGAUAUUAGGAAGAACACCAGUGGCGAAGGCGACUUUCUGGACGAAAACUGACGCUGAGGCGCGAAAGCCAGGGGAGCGAACGGGAUUAGAUACCCGUGUAGUCCCUGUCUCUUAUACA
rnacentral:rRNA from 1 species